rnacentral:rRNA from 1 species
GAUGAACGCUGGCGGCGUGCCUAAUACAUGCGAGUCGAGCGAACGGACGAGAAGCUUGCUUCUCUGAUGUUAGCGGCGGACGGGUGAGUAACACGUGGAUAACCUACCUAUAAGACUGGGAUAACUUCGGGAAACCGGAGCUAAUACCGGAUAAUAUUUUGAACCGCAUGGUUCAAAAGUGAAAGACGGUCUUGCUGUCACUUAUAGAUGGAGCCGCGCUGCAUUAGCUAGUUGGUAAGGUAACGGCUUACCAAGGCAACGAUGCAUAGCCGACCUGGGAGGGUGAUCGGCCACACUGGAACUGAGCCACGGUCCAGACUCCUACGGGAGGCAGCAGUAGGGAAUCUUCCGCAAUGGGCGAAAGCCUGACGGAGCAACGCCGCGUGAGUGAUGAAGGUCUUCGGAUCGUAAAACUCUGUUAUUAGGGAAGAACAUAUGUGUAAGUAACUGUGCACAUCUUGACGGUACCUAAUCAGAAAGCCACGGCUAACUACGUG